CUUUGCUUAGAAGCUUAUGUGGAUUACCAAAAGAGGAUGGUUAAUUGAGUGGCUUUGAAGUGCAUCAAUCAUCCUUGAAGAAUUAAGUAUCAACAAAGCUAGAGCACUCAUUGGAAUUGGCGGCAUACUCCCUUUGUAUCUGUUCAUACCUAUAAUGGGUACUUGCAAAUAGUGGCUCCAGUUGCAUAUGUAUGGAGGCAGGUGUUCAUCAAUAAGCAAUCCAUUGCCUUGAGUAAAGAAGGAGAAUAUCUUAUGCGAUUCGAUAGCAUCUUGAUUAAGAAAUUCUUGGCCGAGGUAAUUAUAAUUAAUGAAAAAAGGGUUUUCGCAUUAAUCAUAUUUAGUCGAGAUGUAUCUUGGAUUUGGUCAUAGAAUUAAGUUAAUGGAUUUUACUAUUCCAUGAUCCUAAUUUCAUCGGGAUAUUGUUCAAUGGAAGGACUUAAUUACACAAUGAUCAUAAAUAAAGGGUUCAUGGAUGAUCAAUGCCUUUAUUAUU